UUUCCAGUCCUAUGUUCAAUAAAUGACAAGAGUGGGCAUCCUUGUCUUGUUCCUGACUUUAGAGGAAACAUUUUUAGCUUUUCACCAUUGAGUGUGACAUUAGCUGUGAGCUUGUCACAUAUAGCCUUUAUUAUGUCGAGAUAUG